CAUAAACUAGUGAAGAAAUAUAUUAGACAUCAUGUCUGAAGCACUGUAAAUAUAUUUAAAUAUAUUUUGAAAACACUUGAUGGUCACGCGCUGUACUGGAGUCACCAUGGAAACGGGGCUCAGCUCAACCGUCAAGCAGCUGAACAGACGCUGUCUCUCGUGGUUGUUUUCACUAAUUUCAGAAAUGGUCAGUGUCUUCAGAAAAAGUCCGUUAGCAUCUCAACUGUAAUGCUAACUACAAGAGUUAUUUUGAUGUCCACACUGUAAGAGUAUUAAUCGGUU